UAGGGAAUCUUCGGCAAUGGACGAAAGCCUGACCGAGCAACGCCGCGUGAGUGAAGAAGGUUUUCGGAUCGUAAAACUCUGUUGUUAGAGAAGAACAAGGACGUUAGUAACUGAACGUCCCCUGACGGUAUCUAACCAGAAAGCCACGGCUAACUACGUGCCAGCAGCCGCGGUAAUACGUAGGUGGCAAGCGUUGUCCGGAUUUAUUGGGCGUAAAGCGAGCGCAGGCGGUUUCUUAAGUCUGAUGUGAAAGCCCCCGGCUCAACCGGGGAGGGUCAUUGGAAACUGGGAGGCUUGAGUGCAGAAGAGGGGAGUGGAAUUCCAUGUGUAGCGGUGAAAUGCGUAGAUAUAUGGAGGAACACCAGUGGCGAAGGCGGCUCUCUGGUCUGUAACUGACGCUGAGGCUCGAAAGCGUGGGGAGCAAACAGG
rnacentral:rRNA from 1 species